rnacentral:rRNA from 1 species
UUCCGGUUGAUCCUGCCGGAGGCGACCGCUUUGGGAGUUCGAUUAAGCCAUGCGAGUCGUGAGUCUUAGGGACUCGGCAUACUGCUCAGUAACACGUGGAUAACCUGCCCUAUCGUCUGGAAUAACCUCGGGAAACUGAGAAUAAGGCCGGAUAGUUCACAAUGCCUGGAACGGUUUGUGAAUCAAGGUAGGAUGGGUCUGCGGCGUAUCAGGUUGUAGGGGGUGUAAAGGACCCCCUAGCCUUCGACGCGUACGGGUGUUGGGAGACAUAGCCCGGAGAUGGAUUCUGAGACACGAAUCCAGACCCUACGGGGUGCAGCAGGCGCGAAAACUUCACACUGCAGGAAACUGUGAUGAGGGAACUCCUAGUGCAUGCACUAUGUGUAUGUAGAUCCUACUCUUAACAAGUAGAGGGAAAGGGCUGGGAAAGACCGGUGCCAGCCGCCGCGGUAAUACCGGCAGCUCAAGUGGUCGUCGCUUUUAUUGGGCCUAAAACGUCCGUAGCCUGUUUGGUAAAUCUGUGGGUAAAUCAAUCCGCUCAACGGAUUGAAUUCUGCAGAGACUGCCAGACUAGGGACCGGGAGAGGUGUGGGGUACUCGAGGGGUAGGGGUAAAAUCCUGUCAUCCUUCGAGGACCACCAGUUGCGAAGGCGCCACACUGGAACGGAUCCGACGGUCAGGGACGAAGCCUAGGGGCACGAACCGGAUUAGAUACCCGGGUAGUCCUAGGUGUAAACGCUGUGAACUUGGUGUCGGGAUUCCGUCACGGGACCUCGGUGCCGAAGUGAAGAUGUUAAGUUCACUGCCUGGGGAGUACGGUCGCAAGGCUGAAACUUAAAGGAAUUGGCGGGGCAGCAC